UAGCAUAAUCAUUAGUUUUUUAAUUGAAAACUGGAAUGAAAGGUUAAAUAAAAAAUAAUCUUUAUUAGUUUUAAAAUAUUUGAAUUUGUUUUUUUAGUAAAAAAACUAAAAUUAUAUAAAAAGACGAUAAGACCCUAUAAAGCUUUAUAAUAAAAAAUUUAAUAAUUUAUUAGAAUAUUUAAAUUAAUUCUUUUUUUUUAUUUAAUUGGGGUGACCUAAAGAUUUAGUAAACUCUUUAUUAAAAGUAUCAUUUUUAAAUGUUUUUUGAUCCUUAAAAUUUUAAGAGUAAAAAAAUAAGUUACUUUAGGGAUAACAGCGUAAUUUUUUUGAAGAGUCCAAAUCGAUAAAAAAGAUUGCGACCUCGAUGUUGAAUUAAGAUAAAUUUUAGGUGUAGAAGUUUAAUUUUU
rnacentral:rRNA from 1 species